UAGAAUUAUGUGAAGAACAAUAAAAUCUGUCCUAGAAGACUUUUAUGCUUUUCUUGUAGAAGUGGCUAAAGUUUCCUCCCCCUUUCAUUGUUUAAAUUAAUAAUUAAAUAAACCAAAAGUGCUGAAAUGUCUGAAGGGUUGACAGGGGAGUCAAACAGAAGUGUGAAGAUGGCAGUGGCAAUCCUGCGCUGUUGGAUGCGAACCAUUUUUGCUCUUUUGAGGAAGGAGAAUAUGAACUAUUCCAACUGAUCAAUUGCCAUAGACUUCAGGAAGAUGAGCAUAUGAAAGAGAAUGUCAUGCUUUUUAAAGAAAUUUUAUACAAGUAAUCACAUCAGUCUUACCUGGAGAAUCCUAUGAAUCAGUUAACAAAUGUUCUGUUACUAGUCUUUGCGAGUUUGACAAACUAAGAAUGAGUUACUUCUAUUGAUGACUACUUUGAAAGCAAAAAAAGAUACCACAAAUGGAAUUUACAUAUCUGAAACCAUGAAAAUCAUCAAAAACUCUUUUAUAGAAAAUAUUUGCAAUUAAUGCUAUAGUGCUACAAUUUUAUUUUGAACUUGUUUGAAGGAUUAAAGAUGAGGGACUGUAGUACCAAGAUGCUUUUCACAAAGAAUAUUUAAUGUAUAUUUUUAAAAUUUUAUAUUGAUUACCCAAUUUGAAAAUAUGCCUUUUAAAAGAAUAACUUCAAAGGAGAACAGCAUACACAAAAAUUAAUCCCCUAAAUAUAAUUCCAUGGGUAAAAUGUAUGAAAUGUAUACAUUUGAUUGACUUUCUUAUGAAGUGAGUAUAGCCAUUUACUAUUCACUGAAUAUAUUGAUUUUACUAUAGUCUAACAGGAGUUAAAAUACAACCCAAUGUGAGAAGACUGCAAAUUUCUAGAAGAGACACUAGGAAACAAAUAUUUUUCCUUAUUUUCUUGAUUGAUACAUUUUGCAAGCUAUGAAUUCACUUUUUAUUUCUGGACAGAAAGAAGGGUAAAGUUCUGGAGAGCUCAAUGAAUAUCCCUUUUUGACCAUUAUUCAAUAUAUUCAGAGUUUUAGUUUAAUGGCACGCAUUUUAGCUACAUCUGAUAUUCUUAUAGUGGUGCACCAGGAAUUCUUGAGUUGUAGAAUGACCAUUCCCUAUUCCCAAGUAGACCUGACCACUUCCCUUUUCUCCUGCUAUAUCCCUUUUUAUAGUUAUCUAUCAUAUGUUAUGCACAUUAAUUUACAUAUUUAUCUUGCUCUUUAUCAGAUUGAAAUGUGAAUAAGCUAUAUCUUCAUAGCCCCAGGUCUUUUCCAGUGCCUCAUCACAAGCGUGUGUUCAGUAACUGAUUUUUAAAUGAUUACGUGACUAAAUAAAUGCUUUAGCAAACCAUA